GCUCCAUUUCACUUAUGUAUCAGGCUUGGGAACAGAAGGAGGAACAGAAAAGCAGAAUACUGAACAAAUGUACAUUUAAUUAAGGUCAUCCAGUGAUGUACCAUGGAUCUGUCUGCCUAUCCAUCUGCUGUUCCCAGCUACAAUACCUGUUAGCUGGUGGAUGAUUUCCAUGGAAUCUGGCAGCUGCCUAACGUCACAAAUUAGCAAGAUUAAGGGAAGUGAAAAACUACCAUUUUUUUCCUGUCUGUGUCAACAGUACAGGUUAUUGCCUGGGAAAACUUUUUCUGGAGGAAGAUAGCACCUUGCUGCUUCACCUAAAGCUAAAUUGCUGCAAAUACCGGGGUGACCCACUGAAAGCAUCCAGUGAAGAAUCUGUGUACGUGUGCCCUUACA